GCUCAGUUGGUUAAGCACAUGACUCUUGAUUUGGGCUCAGGUCACGAUCUCACACUUGGUGGGUUCGAGCCCCACAUUGGGCU
rnacentral:tRNA from 1 species